GCGCCUCUAGCUCAACUGGCAGAGCAACGGACUCUUAAUCCGUAGGUUCCGGGUUCGAUUCCCGGGGGGCGUACCA
rnacentral:tRNA from 1 species